AGAGUUUGAUCCUGGCUCAGAACGAACGCUGGCGGCGUGGCUAAGGCAUGCAAGUCGUACGGAUCAUGUGAUGGGUAACCAAAGCAUGGUUAGUGGCGGACGGGUCAGUAAUGCAUGGGUAAUGUACCCUGGGCACAGGGAUAGCGGCGGGGAGCAAUCCCCUUUGCGAAAGUGCCGGUAAUACCUGAUGAUAUUCACGAGUCGCAUGGCUUGUGGAUCAAAGGGUGGGGACCUUCGGGCCUAUCGGCCUGGGAGCAGCCCAUGUCCUAUCAGCUUGUUGGUGAGGUAAUGGCUCACCAAGGCAUCGACGGGUAGCGGGUGUGAGAGCACAGCCCGCGACAUCGGGACUGAGACACUGCCCGGACACCUACGGGUGGCUGCAGCAACGAAUAUUCCGCAAUGGGCGCAAGCCUGACGGAGCGACGCCGCGUGAAGGACGGAGCCCUUCGGGGUGUAAACUUCAGUAGCAGAUCAGGAAGCAAUCCCGUCUAAUAGACGGGUGCGUUGACCAGUUUGUGAAAGGGCCGGCUAACCCUGUACCAGCAGCCGCGGUAAGACAGGGGGCCCUAGCGUUGUUCGGAAUCACUGGGCUUAAAGCGCGUGUAGGCGGCCCGGCAAGUGCUUUGUGAAAGCCCCCGGCUCAACCGGGGAACUGCUUGGCAUACUGCCGGGCUUGAGGUAGGUAGAGGCGACUGGAACCUUAGGUGGAGCGGUGAAAUGCGUAGAUAUCUAAGGGAACGCCGGUGGCGAAAGCGGGUCGCUGGGCCUGCCCUGACGCUGAGACGCGAAAGCGUAGGGAGCAAACGGGAUUAGAUACCCCGGUAGUCUACGCCGUAAACGAUGCGCACUAGGUACAGGUGUCUCUGACGACUCCUGUGCCGAAACAAAAGCGUUAAGUGCGCCGCCUGGGGAGUACGGCCGCAAGGCUAAAACUCAAAGGAAUUGACGGGGGCUCACACAAGCGGUGGAGCAUGUGGCUCAAUUCGAAACAACGCGAAGAACCUUACCCGGGUUCAAGUCUAGGGAUGCCUACCGUGAAAGCGGCUUUGGCUGCUCUUCGGAGUGAAACCUAGGCCGGUGCUGCAUGGCUGUCGUCAGCUCGUGCUGUGAAGUGUUGGGUUAAGUCCCGUAACGAGCGAAACCCUUGUCGCUAGUUGCCAGCGGGUUAUGCCGGGGACUCUAGCGAGACUGCCGGUGUCAAACCGGAGGAAGGCGGGGAUGACGUCAAGUCCUCAUGGCCCUUAAGCCCGGGGCGGCACACGUGCUACAAUGGGGCGUACAGAGCGACGCAAGGCCGCGAGGCGGAGCAAAUCGCACAAAACGCCCCUCAGUUCGGAUUGGAGUCUGCAAUUCGACUCCAUGAAGUCGGAAUCGCUAGUAAUCGCGCAUCAGCCAUGGCGCGGUGAAUGUGUUCCUGAGCCUUGUACACACCGCCCGUCAAGUCAUGGGAGCUGGGAGCACCCGAAGUCCGCUCAUCAACCCUUCGGGGAGGUGGCGGCCGACGGUGAGCUCGGUGACUGGGACUAAGUCGAAACAAGGUA
rnacentral:rRNA from 1 species